rnacentral:lncRNA from 1 species
AUGAAAUAUUAGUUCUGGUUGCUAGUGCAGAUCUGGACUCGGAUCAAGGGUGUCGAGAGGGUCCUGGGUCCUGUUCCUUUGCCUUUCAAAAAGACUUUUUACGGAUUGAGAAUUUUUAAAUACCACUAGGGGAAAGGUGAAGGUUCUUUGCAGCCUUCAGUGUUGAAAUGGACGAAGGUAAGGAAGGCAAAUCAUUUUAAGACGAAAUCUCCGAUUUUUUAAAAAAGGAGGAAAAAAGCAGGGUGGCUAAGGAUAAAGAAAGAGGACUUGAGAAAAUGUGGAGAAUGAAAAACAGGAGAGCAGCGAGCAAAAGCAAAGAUCCAGAGUUCAAAGAGACUGGCAGAAGGAAAUAGCUGCGGGCUGAGUGCUGAAGAGGGGAGGGACUGACGGCUGCCGGCCGGUAGGAGCGCGGAGCUGCGCUGCGGCGGCCCAGGAGCUGCUGCGGUUCCCGCUGCUCGGGGAGCAGGCGGUGUGUGCGCGGCUGCGAAGUCGAGGUUGAAACUGCACCGCCAAGGCGCGCUCCUGCUGUGUCUGGAGCUCCGGCGUCUCCUCUGCCUCCCAGCUCAGCGCCUCCCACCCUCCUUCCCUCCUCCUCUUCCCAGCUCCCCCGCCCUCUGCUGCUCGCAGCCUCGCCAGUGAGAAUCUACUGUAAGUGUGAGUUGCUUCGACGAAGUCACACACCCACGGAGGGAAGUAAUCUGGAGGCUGCCUUGGCAUGUACAGGAAGCCUUCCUGCAGACAUCCACAGUGAACAAGUCUAAGGACAAUAGCUUUCGUUGGCCCCCAAUAGAAGGCAUUUUUAGUGAUGUGUGGCCUCACCACUUAAAUCCAGUUUAUUGAAUCUGAAGUGAUUUGCUCCUCUUUCUGGACUACACAAUAAACACCCUCCAACGUCCCCAGCCAUGCUCUUCCCAUCAUUUGGCUGAAAGGGGAGGAAUUCAAGGCCUUAGAGUGGGGAAGCUACAAUUUGGAAGAAUCCUGGAAGCACAGAUUACCCUGUGAAGCAGCAUCCCCAUGAGGGUCUCUUUCUUCUGUGAUAUAAGCAAGAAAUAAAUGAAUUGUGCAAAUCCAGUGAGAUUUAGUCAUCUCUGUGUUAAAUCAGUUAGCUACUCUGGCUCAUACAUCAUCUUCUGGCUGCUUUUGACUCAUAGCUUGGUUAAGAUGAGGUUAUCUAAGGUGUUCAUCAUUUCAAACCGUCCUUCUUAAUAUUGCCAAGAUAAUUUUUACGUCAAACAGCCAUUUAAUGGCAGCUUAUUUCUAAAUUAUUCCUAUCUUUCACAGUCUUAAUAUAGUUCACAUUAUGACCCUAACUCCAUUGAUAUUUUAUUUUUAUUUUUAUUAUUUAUUUAUUAUUUAUCUAUCUAUUUUUGAGACAGUCUCACUCUAUCAUCCAGGCUGGAGUGCAAUGGUGUGAUCUCGGCUCACUGCAUCCUUG